GACGAACGCUGGCGGCGCGCCUAACACAUGCAAGUCGAACGGGAUCUUCUGGAAGCUUGCUUCUGGCAGAUCUAGUGGCGGACGGGUGAGUAACACGUGAGCAACCUGCCCUUGAGAGGGGAAUAACGUCUGGAAACGGACGCUAAUACCGCAUAACAUGCCGGUGUGGCAUCACAUUGGCAUCAAAGGAGAAAUCCGCUCAAGGGUGGGCUCGCGCCUGAUUAGAUAGUUGGUGAGGUAAUGGCUCACCAAGUCUGCGAUCAGUAGCCGGACUGAGAGGUUGAUCGGCCACAUUGGGACUGAGACACGGCCCAGACUCCUACGGGAGGCAGCAGUGGGGAAUAUUGGGCAAUGGGGGAAACCCUGACCCAGCGACGCCGCGUGAGUGAAGACGGCCUUCGGGUUGUAAAGCUCUGUUGCAGAGGACGAUAAUGACGGUACUCUGUGAGGAAGCCACGGCUAACUACGUGCCAGCAGCCGCGGUAAU
rnacentral:rRNA from 1 species